GGUGUGGUGUGCUGGAUGAGAAAAUGGCAAUGGAAGGGUGGGGGGAAAGGUGGAGGAUGGAGGAGGAGAGAGAGAAGAGAAGGAGGUGGCCAAUGGAGGAGAUCGGGGAGGUUGUUGUGGGUAUGGUGAGGGAGGAGCAAAGGCAGAAUGAAUGUCAUCAAGAGGGUCAAUAAGGGUAUCAGAUGAGGGAUUUUGUGAUGUGGAGAGAGCUAAAAGUACCUGAGUUGCCCACACACCUGAAGGGGAGAGGGACAUGCCCUGAGAGCAAAAAAGGCUUGGAUGUAAGAUAUCUCUGACCAUUUGCCAUUGUGGUAGAACAAACUGUCUAAGUCACAGAGGAUAGUGAAAUCAUGAGUACCCUCCUUAGACCAGCAGCUGCCUUAUCAAGUUUGUAUUGAGGCCAGGCUGUCUCAAGUAAAAAAUCAGUCAUUUUGGUUUAAUGGUCUCCUGGAGACAUAGGGUGUUCAAGUUUUUUAACAGACCCCUGAGCAGAGUGUGUUUUUGAUGCUGAGAAGGAGUAUUUCCCAUAGUGAUCAAAUCGAAGGGAGAAGCUCAACAAUCCAAGAAGCUGGACUCCUUCAUGCCUUGCCAAGUACUCUGGCCCUAAAUCCUUCGUUUUGCCAAGAUGCUCUCCUGCUGCCCUCUGCAUCCAGCUUGAGGGGGCAUGGGACCCAGAGGAAGCUGAGUACCUGGAAGGCUCUGGGCAGGCCAAGCCAGGGAGAAAGAUGUGUGUGUGUGUGUGUGUGUGUGUGUGUGUGUGUGUGUGUGUACUUGUGCAGGGUAUUUUUUUUUUUUUUUUACCAUUUCAAGGCUCUUGUUUCUCUGCAGUGUGUUUUCCAUGUAUAUAAAAAUAAUGUGUGCUCACUAUAAAAACAGAAUCAUCUUUUGUGUUAAUGUUUGCAUAUGAUAUUUGAAAUAUAUUUAUGUAUUACAUUUUCCAUAUGUAUAAAAUUAAUACAUAGUUAUGCUAAAAAAUAGUCA
rnacentral:lncRNA from 1 species